UAGUGGCGAACGGGUGCGUAACACGUGGGCAAUCUGUCGUAAAGUGCGGGAUAGCUCGGCGAAAGCCGGAUUAAUACCGCAUGUGAUCAGCUAAGACAUCUUAGCGAAAUCAAAGCCGGGGCAACCUGGCGCUUUUUGAGGAGCCCGCGGCCUAUCAGCUUGUUGGUGAGGUAACGGCUCACCAAGGCUAUGACGGGUAACUGGUCUGAGAGGACGACCAGUCACACUGGGACUGAGACACGGCCCAGACACCUACGGGUGGCAGCAGUCGAGAAUUUUUCUCAAUGGGGGAAACCCUGAAGGAGCGACGCCGCGUGGAGGAUGAAGGUCUUCGGGUUGUAAACUCCUGUCAUUUGGGAACAAGGUGCAUACGUUUACUGCGUGUGCAUUGAUAGUACCAGAAGAGGAAGAGACGGCUAACUCUGUGCCAGCAGCCGCGGUAAUACAGAGGUCUCAAGCGUUGUUCGGAUUCAUUGGGCGUAAAGGGUGUGUAGGUGGCGCCGUAAGUCGGGUGUGAAAUUUCGGAGCUUAACUCCGAAACUGCAUUUGAUACUGCGGUGCUUGAGGACUGGAGAGGAGACUGGAAUUUACGGUGUAGCAGUGAAAUGCGUAGAUAUCAUAAGGAAGACCAGUGGCGAAGGCGGGUCUCUGGACAGUUCC
rnacentral:rRNA from 1 species